GAAAAGGCCACAAAAACGGGUGGGCUAUAGCCUUGGGCGGUGGGGCUGGGCAACUUCGAUCGCUGGACUCGGAAUGGCGCGAGACUUUGCGAGGCGCCUCCGUGUGCCAAAAAUAGGCCGCGCGCACAGCCGCGCCCAAAAAUAACCGCGCCAAGACCGGGGCGCCAAGUUCGUCCAGCGGAAAAAGCCCACAAAAACGGGUGGGCUAUAGCCUUGGGGGAUGGGGCUGGCCAACUUCGUCCGCCGGACUCGGAAUGGCGUGAGACUUUGUGAGGCUCCUCCGUGUUCCAAAAAUAGGCUGCGGGCACAGCCGCGCCCAAAAAUAACCGCCCGAACUCCGGGGCGCCAAGUUCGUCCAGCGGAAAAAGCCCACAAAUACGGACGGGCUAUAGCCUUGGGGGGUGGUGCUGGCCAACUUCGUCCGCCGGUCUCGGAAUGGCGCGUGACUUUGCGAGGCGCCUCCGUGUAUGAAAAAUAGGCCGCGGGCACAGCCGCACCCAAAACUAACAGCCCGAAGGCCGGGGCGACAAGUUCGUCCAUCGGAAAAAGCCCACAAAAACGGGUGGGCUAUAGCCUUGGGGGGUGGGGAUGGCCAACUUCAUCCGCCGGACUCGGAAUGCCACGAGACUUUACGAGGGGCCUCCGUGUGCCAAAAAUAGGCCGCGAACAAAGGCGCGCCCAAAAAUAACCGCCCGAAGGCCGGGGCGCCAAGCUCGUCCAGCGGAAAAAGGCCACAAAAACGGGUGGGCUAUAGCCUUGGGGGGUGGGGCUGGCCAACUUCGUCCGCCGGACUCGGAAUGCCGCGAGACUUUGCGAAGGGCCUCCGUGUGCCAAAAAUAGGCCGCGAACAAAGGCACGCCCAAAAAUAACCGCCCGAAGGCCGGGGCGCCAAGUUCGUCCAGCGGAAAAAGCCCACAAAAACGGGUGGGCUAUAGCCUUGGGGGAUGGGGCUGGCCAACUUCGUCCGCCGGACUCGGAAUGGCGUGAGACUUUGCGAGGCUCCUCCGUGUUCCAAAAAUAGGCUGCGGGCACAGCCGCGCCCAAAAAUAACCGCCCGAAGUCCGGGGCGCCAAGUUCGUCCAGCGGAAAAAGCCCACAAAUACGGACGGGCUAUAGCCUUGGGGGGUGGUGCUGGCCAACUUCGUCCGCCGGUCUCGGAAUGGCGCGCGACUUUGCGAGGCGCCUCCGUGUAUGAAAAAUAGGCCGCGGGCACAGCCGCACCCAAAACUAACAGCCCGAAGGCCGGGGCGACAAGUUCGUCCAGCGGAAAAAGCCCACAAAAACGGGUGGGCUAUAGCCUUGGGGGGUGGGGAUGGCCAACUUCAUCCGCCGGACUCGGAAUGCCACGAGACUUUGCGAGGGGCCUCCGUGUGCCAAAAAUAGGCCGCGAACAAAGGCACGCCCAAAAAUAACCGCCUGAAGGACGGGGCGCCAAGUUCGUCCAGCGGAAAAAGUCCACAAAAACGGGUGGGCUAUAGCCUUGGGGGGUGGGGCUGGCCGACUUCGUCCGCCGGACUCGGAAUGCCGCGAGACUUUGCGAGGGGCCUCCGUGUGCCAAAAAUAGGCCGCGGGUAAAGCCACGCCCAAAAAUAACCGACCGAAGGCCGGGGCGCCAAGUUCGUCCAGCGGAACAAGGCCACAAAAACGGGUCGGCUAUAACCUUGGGGGGUGGGGCUGGCCGACUUCGUCCGCCGGACUCGGAAUGCCGCGAGACUUUGCGAGGGGCCUCCGUGUGCCAAAAAUAGGCCGCGGGUAAAGCCGUGCCCAAAAAUAACCGCCCGAAGGCCGGGGCGCCAAGUUCGUCCAGCGGAAAAAGGCCACAAAAACGGGUGGGCUAUAGCCUUGGGGGGUGGGGCUGGCCGACUUCGUCCGCCGGAUUCGGAAUGCCGCGAGACUUUGCGAGGGGCCUCCGUGUGCCAAAAAUAGGCCGCGGGCAAAGCCACGCCCAAAAAUAACCGCCCGAAGGCCGGGGCGCCAAGUUCGUCCAGCGUAAAAAGGCCACAAAAACGGGUGGGCUAUAACCUUGGGGGGUGGGGCUGGCCGACUUCGUCCGCCGGACUCGGAAUGGCGUGAGCCUUUGCGAGGCGCCUCCGUGUGGCAAAAAUAGGCCGCGGGCACAGCCGCGCCUAAAACUAACCGCCCGAAGGCUGGGGCGACAAGUUCGUCCAGCGGUAAAAGCCCACAAAAACGGGUGGGCUAUAGCCUUGGGGGGUGGGGAUGGCCAACUUCGUCCGCCGGACUCGGAAUGCCGCGAGACUUUGCGAGGGGGCUCCAUGUGCCAAAAAUAGGCCGCGGGCAAAGCCGCACCCAAAAAUAACCACCCGAUGGCCGGGGCGUCAAGUUCGUCCAGCGGAAAAAGGCCACAAAAACGGGUGGGCUAUAGCCUUGGGGGGUGGGGAUGGCCCACUUCGUCCGCCGGACUCGGAAUGCCGCGAGACUUUGUGAGGGGCCUCUGUGUGCCAAAAAUAGGCCGCGGGCAAAGCCGCGCAAAAAAAUAACCCCCCGAAGGCCGGGGCGCCAAGUUCGUCCAGCGGAAAAAGGCCACAAAAACGGAUGGGCUAUAGCCUUGGGAGGUGGGGCUGGCCAACUUCGUCCGCCAGCCUCGGAAUGGCGCGAGGCUUUGCGAGGCGCCUCCGUGUGCCAAAAAUAGGCCGCGGGCACAACCGCGCCCAAAAAUAACUGUCCGAAGGCCGGGGCGCCAAGUUCGUCCAGCGGAAAAAGGCCACAAAAACGGGUGGGCUAUAGCCCUGGGGGGUGGGGCUGGCCAACUUCGUCCGCCGGACUAGGAAUGGCGCGAGACUUUGCGAGGCACCUCCGUGUGCCAAAAAUAGGCCGCGGGCACAGCCGCGCCCAAAAAUAACCGCCCGAAGGCCGGGUUGCCAAGUUCGUCCAGCGGAAAAACGCCACAAAAACGGGUGGGCUAUAGCCUUGGGGGGUGGGGCUGGCCCACUUCGUCCGCCGGACUCGGAAUGGAGCGAGACUUUGCGAGGCGUCUCCGUGAGCCAAAAAUAGGACGCGGGCGCAGCCGCGCUCAAAGAGAACCACCUAAAGGCUGGGGCGCCAAGUUCGUCCAGCGGAAAAAGGCCACAAAAACGGGUGGGCUAUAGACUUGGGGGAUGGGGCUGGCCAACUUCGUCCGCCUGAGUCAGAAUGGCCCGAGACUUUGCGAGGCACCUCCGUGUGCCAAAAAUAGGCCGCGGGCACAACCGCGCCCAAAAAUAACCGACCGAAGGCCAAGGUGCCAAGUUCGUCCAGCGGAAAAAGGCCACAAAAACGGGUGGGCUAUAGCCUUGGGGCGUGGGGCUGGCCAACUUCGUACGCUGCACUCGGAAUGGCGCGAGACUUUGCGAGGUGCCUCCGUGUGCCAAAAAUAGGCCGCAGGCAAAGCCGCAACCAAAAAUAACCGCCCGAAGGCCGGGGCGCCAAGUUCGUCCAGCGGAAAAAGACCACAAAAACGGGUGGGCUAUAGCCUUGGGGGGUAGGGCUGGCUGACUUCGUCCGCCGGACUUGGAAUGCCGCGAGACUUUGCGAGGGCCCUCCAUGUGCCAAAAAUAGGCCGCGGGCAAAGCCGUACCCAAAAAUAACCACCCGAUGGCCGGGGCGCCAAGUUCGUCCAGCGGAAAAAGGCCACAAAAACGGGUGGGCUAUAGCCUUGGGGGGUGGGGCUGGCCAACUUCGUCCGCCUAACUUGCAAUGGCGCGAGACUUUGCGAGACACCUCCGUGUGCCAAAAAUAGGCCGCGGGCACAGCCGCGCCUAAACAUAACCGCCCGAAGGCCGGGGCGCCAAGUUCGUCCAGCGGAAAAAGGCUACAAAAACGGGUGGGCUAUAGCCUUGGGGGGUGGGGCUGGCCAACUACGUCCGCCGGACUCGGAAUGGCGGGAGACUUUGCGUGGCGCCUCCGUAUGCCAAAAAUAGGCAGCGAGCGCAGCCGCGCCCAAACAUAACCGCGCGAAGGCCGGGGCGCCAAGUUCGUCCAGCGGAAAGAGGCCACAAAAACGGGUGGGCUAUAGCCUUGGGGGGUGGGGCUGGCCAACUACGUCCGCCGGACUCGGAAUGGCGGGAGACUUUGCGAGGCGCCUCCGUAUACCAAAAAUAGGCAGCGAGCGCAGCCGCGCCCAAACAUAACCGCGCGAAGGCCGGGGCGCCAAGUUCGUCCAGCGGGAAAAGGCCAAAAAAUGCCACAAAAACGGGUGGGCUAUAGCUUUGGGGGGUGCGGCUGGCCAAAUUCGUCCGCCGGACUCGGAAUGGCGCGAGACUUUGCGAGGCACCUCCGUGUGCCAAAAAUAGGCUGUGGGCUCAGCCGCGCCCAAAAAUAUCCGGCCAAAGGCCGGGGCCCCAAGUUCGUCCAGCGGAAAAAGGCCACAAAAACGGGUGGGCUAUAGCAUUGGGGGGUGGGGCUGGCCAACUUCGUCUGCCGAACUCGGAAUGGGGCGAGACAUUGCGAGGCGCCUCCGUGUGACAAAAAUAGGCCGCGGGCACAGCCGCGCCUAAACAUAACCGCCCGAAGGCCGGGGCGCCAAGUUCGUCCAGCGGAAAAAAGCCACAAAAACGGGUGGGCUAUAGCCUUGGGUGGUGGGGCUGGCCAACUAAGUCCGCCGGACGCGGAAUGGCGCGAGACUUUACGAGGCGCCUCCCUGUGCCAAAAAUAGGCCGCAGGCACAGCCGCGCCCAAAAAUAACCGCCCGAAGGCCGGGGCGCCAAGUUCGUCCAGCGGAAAGAGGCCACAAAAACGGGUGGGCUAUAGCCUUGGGGGGUGGGGCCGGCCGACUUCGUCCGCCGAACUUGGAAUGGCGCGAGACUUUGCGACGCACCUCCGUGUGCAAAAAAUAGGCCGCGAGCACAGCCGCGCCUAAACAUAACCGCCCGAAGGACGGGGUGCCAAGUUGGUCCAGCGGAAAACGGCCUCAAAAAGGGGUGGGCUAUCGCCUUGGGGGGUGGGCUAUAGCCUUGGUGGGAGGGGUUGGCCAACUUCGUCCGCCGGACUCGGAAUGGCGCGAGACUUUGCGAGGCGCCUCCGUGUGCCUAAAAUAGGCCACGGGCACAGCCGCGCCCAAACAUAACCGCCCAAAGGCCGGUGCGCCAAGUUCGUCCAGCGGAAAAAGGCCACAAAAACGGGUGGGCUAUAGCCUUGGGGGGUGGGGCUGGCCAACUUCGUCCGCCGGACUCGGAAUGGCGCGAGACUUUGCGAGGCGCCUCCGUGUGCCAAAAAUAGGCCGCGGGCACAGCCGCGCCCAAACAUAACCGCCCAAAGGCCGGUGCGCCAAGUUCGUCCAGCGGAAAAAGGCCACAAAAACAGGUGGGCUAUAGCCUUGCGGGGUGGGCUAUAGCCUUGGGGGGCGGGGCUGGCCAACUUCUUCCUCCGGACUCGGAAUGGCGGGAGACUUUGCGAGGCGCCUCCGUGGGCCAAAAAUAGGCCGCGGUCACAGCCGCGCCCAAAAAUAACAGCCCGAAGGCCGGGGCGCCAAGUUCGUCCAGCGGAAAAAGGCCACAGAAACGGGUGGGCUAUAGCCUUGGGGGGUGGGGCUGGCCAACUUCGUCCGCCGAACUGGGAAGGGCGGGAAACAUUGGGAGGCGCCUCCGUGUGCCAAAAUAGGCUGCGGGCACAGCCGCGCCUAAACAUAACCGCCCGAAGGCCGGGGCGCCAAGUUCGUCCAGCGGAAAAAGGACACAAAAACGGGUGGGCUAUAGCCUUGGGGGGUGGGGCUGGCCAACUUCGUCCGCCGAACUCGGAAUGGCGCGAAACAUUGCGAGGCGCCUCCGUGUGCCAAAAAUAGGCUGCGGGCACAGCCGCGCCUAAACAUAACCGCCCGAAGGCCGGGGCGCCAAGUUCGUCCAGCGGAAAAAGGCCACAAAAACGGUUGGGCAAUAGCCUUGGGGGGCGGGGCCGGCCAACUUCGUCCGCCGGACUCGGAAUGGCGCGAGACUUUGCGAGGCACCUCCGUGUGCCAAAAAUAGGCCGCGGGCACAGCCGUGCCCAAACAUAACCGCCCGAAGGCCGGGGCGCCACGUUCGUCCAGCGGAAAAAGGCCACAAAAACGGGUGGGCUAUAGCCGUGCGGGGUGGGGCUGGCCGACUUCGUCCGCCGGACUCGGAAUGGCGCGAGACUUUGCGAGGCGCCUCCGUGUGCCAAAAAUAGGCCGCGGGCACAUCCGCGCCCAAAAAUAACCGCCCGAAGGCCUGGGCGCCAAGUUCUUCCAGCGGAAAAAGGCCAGAAAAACGGGUGGGCCAUAGCCUUGGGGGGUGGGGCUGGCCAACUUCGUCCGCCUAACUUGGAAUGGUGCGAGACUUUGCGAGACACCUCCGUGUGCCAAAAAUAGGCAGCGGGCACAGCCACGCCCAAACAUAACCGCGCGAAGGCCGGGGCGCCAAGUUCGUCCAGCAGAAAAAGGCCACAAAAACGGGUGGGCUAUAGCCUUGGGGGUGGGGCUGGCGAACUUCGUCCGCCGAACUCGGAAUGGCGCGAGACAAUGCGAGGUGCCUCCGUGUGCCAAAAAUAGGCCGCGGGCACAGCCGCACCUAAACAUAACCGCCCGAAGGCCGGGGCGCCAAGUUCGUCCAGCGGAAAAAGGCCAAAAAAACGGGUGGGCUAUAGCCUUGGGGGGUGGGGCUGGCCAACUUCGUCCGCCGAACUCGGAAUGGCGCGAGACAUUGCGAGGCGCCUCCGGGUGCCAAAAAUAGGCCGCGGGCACAGCCGCGCCUAAACAUAACCGCCCGAAGGCCGGGGCGCCAAGUUCGUCCAGCGGAAAAAGGCCACAAAAACGGGUGGGCUAUAACCUUGGGGGGUAGGGCUGGCCGACUUCGUCCGCCGAACUUGGAAUGGCGCGAGACUUUGCGACGCACCUCCGUGUGCCAAAAAUAGGCCGCGGGCACAGCCGUGCCUAAACAUAACCGCCCGAAGGCCGGGGCGCCAAGUUCGUCCAGCGGAAAAAGGCCACAAAAACGGGUGGGCUAUAGCCUUGGGGGUUGGGAUAUAGCCUUGGUGGGCGGGGUUGGCCAACUUCGUCCGCCGGACUUGGAAUGGUGCGAGACUUUGCGAGGCACCUCCGUGUGCCUAAAGUAGGCCACGGGCACAGCCGCGCCCAAACAUAACCGCCCGAAGGCCAGGGCGCCAAGUUCGUGCAGCGGAAAAAGGCCACAAAAACGGGUGGGCUAUAGCCUUGGGGGGUGGGGCUGGCCGACUUCGUCCGCCGGCCUCGGAAUGGCGCGAGACUUUGCGAGGCACCUCCGUGUGCCAAAAAUAGGCCGCGGGCACAGCCGCACCCGAAAAUAACCGCCCGAAGGCCGGGGCGCCAAGUUCGUCCAGCGCAAAAAGGCCACAAAAACGGGUGGGCUAUAGCCUUGGGGGGUGGGGCUGGCCAACUUCGUCCGCCGGACUCGGAAUGGCGUGAGACUUUGCGAGCAGCCUCCGUGUGCAAAAAAAAAACCGCGGGCACAAAAACUGCCCGAAGGCCGGGGCGCCAAGUUCGUCCAGCGGAAAAAGGCCACAAAAACGGGUGGGCUAUAGCCUUUUGGGGGGUGGGGCUGGCCAACUUCGUCCGCCGGACUCGGAAUGCCGCGAGACUUGGCGAGGGUCUCCGUGUGCCAAAAAUAGCCCGCGAGUAAAGCCGCGCCCAAAAAUAACUGCCCGAAGGCCGGGGCGCCAAGUUCAUCCAGCGGAAAAAGGCCACAAAAACAGUUGGGCUAUAGCCUUGGGGGGUGGGGCUGGCCAACUUCGUNNNNNNNNNNNNNNNNNNNNNNNNNNNNNNNNNNNNNNNNNNNNNNNNNNNNNNNNNNNNNNNNNNNNNNNNNNNNNNNNNNNNNNNNNNNNNNNNNNNNACCGCGCCCAAAAAUAACCACCCGAAGGCCGGGGCGCCAGGUUCGUCCAGCGGAAAGAGGCCACAAAAACGGGUGGGCUAUAGCCUUGGGGGGUGGGGCUGGCCAACUUCGUCCGCCGGACUGGGAAUCCAUUGAGACUU
rnacentral:lncRNA from 1 species